rnacentral:tRNA from 1 species
AUUAAUAUAGUUUAAAUAAAACAUUAUAUUUUCAUUAUAAAAUUAAAUUAAAUUUUUUAUUAAUA